GAUGAACGCUGGCGGCGUGCCUAAUACAUGCAAGUCGAGCGAACAGACGAGGAGCUUACUCCUCUGACGUUAGCGGCGGACGGGUGAGUAACACGUGGAUAACCUACCUAUAAGACUGGGAUAACUUCGGGAAACCGGAGCUAAUACCGGAUAAUAUAUUGAACCGCAUGGUUCAAUAGUGAAAGACGGUUUUGCUGUCACUUAUAGAUGGAUCCGCGCCGCAUUAGCUAGUUGGUAAGGUAACGGCUUACCAAGGCAACGAUGCGUAGCCGACCUGAGAGGGUGAUCGGCCACACUGGAACUGAGACACGGACCAGACUCCUACGGUAGGCAGCAGUAGGGAAUCUUCCGCAAUGGGCGAAAGCUUGACGGAGCAACGCCGCGUGAGUGAUGAAGGUCUUCGGAUCGUAAAACUCUGUUAUUAGGGAAGAACAAAUGUGUAAGUAACUAUGCACGUCUUGACGGUACCUAAUCAGAAAGCCACGGCUAACUACGUG
rnacentral:rRNA from 1 species